AUGCCUUUUGGGUUAACUAAUGCACCUAGUACUUUCAUGAGAUUAAUGAACGAAGUUUUACGUGCUUUCAUUGGACGAUUUGUGGUAGUCUAUUUUGAUGGUAUACUGAUUUAUAGUAGAUAUUUGGAGGAACGUUUGGAACACUUACAUGUUGUUUUUAUUGCUCCAUGUGAUGCACAUUUGUUUGGCAACCUUGGGAAGUGCACCUUUUGCACCGACCGAGUAUCUUUUCUUGGCUAUGUUGUUACUCCACAGGGAAUUGAAAUUGAUAAAGCCAAGAUUGAAGCUAAUGAGAGUUGGUCGCAACCCAAAACGGUCACACAAGUGAGGAAUUUUCUUGGCCUCACUGGAUUCUAUAGGCGUUUUGUGAGAGAUUUCAGCACCAUUGCUGCACCUCUCAGUGAGCUUACAAAGAAGGAUGUGCCUUUUGUUUUGGGUACCGCACAAGAAGAAGCCUUCACCGUAUUGAAAGAUAAGUUGACACAUGCUCCUUUACUCCAACUUCCUGAUUCUAAUAAGUUGAGCUUGAAUGUGAUGCUAGUGGAAUUGGAUUAG
rnacentral:rRNA from 1 species